UACGCUCUUUGUGCAAAAGACCUUAAUGUGUUCCAUGAGACUACGACAAAGUUUAGUCACUUUAUGAUCAGCUGGGGAUAUCGUUUAAAACUAGUGAGAAAGGGAUAUAUGAUACUAGGCGUAACUACUUUCACAGGUUACUUUGGCCAAGCACUAUGAUGUUACCUUUGGUUCUACUUAUUGUGAGCACGGCCUCUGUGACAGCUCUUGACUGCAACUUCGAUAGCGGUGGUCUAUGCCAAGGCGUUUCUCAAAGUCGCAACGACAAGUUUGACUGGAGAGUGA